rnacentral:rRNA from 1 species
AAAAAGAACCUGAAACCGUGUACGUACAAGCAGUGGGAGCACAGGUUUACCUGUGUGACUGCGUACCUUUUGUAUAAUGGGUCAGCGACUUAUAUUCUGUAGCAAGGUUAACCGUAUAGGGGAGCCGGAGGGAAACCGAGUCUUAAUUGGGCGUUAAGUUGCAGGGUAUAGACCCGAAACCCGGUGAUCUAGCCAUGGGCAGGUUGAAGGUUGGGUAACACUAACUGGAGGACCGAACCGACUAAUGUUGAAAAAUUAGCGGAUGACCUGUGGCU